AAUAAAAUGGCUGAGUUAUUAAGCGAUAAAUUGUAAAUUUAUUUACGAGAGUUAUUCUCUUUUAUUA
rnacentral:tRNA from 1 species